rnacentral:rRNA from 1 species
UGCCGCGUGAGUGAAGAAGGCCUUCGGGUUGUAAAGCUCUUUUGUGCAGGCAAGAAACGGUGAGAGCUAAUAUCUCUUGCUAAUGACGGUACCUGAAGAAUAAGCACCGGCUAACUACGUGCCAGCAGCCGCGGUAAUACGUAGGGUGCAAGCGUUAAUCGGAAUUACUGGGCGUAAAGCGUGCGCAGGCGGUUUUGUAAGUCUGAUGUGAAAUCCCCGGGCUCAACCUGGGAAUUGCAUUGGAGACUGCAAGGCUAGAAUCUGGCAGAGGGGGGUAGAAUUCCACGUGUAGCAGUGAAAUGCGUAGAUAUGUGGAGGAACACCGAUGGCGAAGGCAGCCCCCUGGGUCAAGAUUGACGCUCAUGCACGAAAGCGUGGGGAGCAAACAGGAUUAGAUACCCUGGUAGUCCACGCCCUAAACGAUGUCUACUAGUUGUCGGGUCUUAAUUGACUUGGUAACGCAGCUAACGCGUGAAGUAGACCGCCUGGGGAGUACGGUCGCAAGAUUAAAACUCAAAGGAAUUGACGGGGACCCGCACAAGCGGUGGAUGAUGUGGAUUAAUUCGAUGCAACGCGAAAAACCUUACCUACCCUUGACAUGGCUGGAAUCCUUGAGAGAUCAGGGAGUGCUUUGAAAGAGACCAGUACACAGGUGCUGCAUGG